rnacentral:tRNA from 1 species
CCUCUAUAGGAAAGCAGCAAUCCAUUGGGUUU